rnacentral:rRNA from 1 species
GUCUAGCGUGUGCGCGAGUCAUUGGGUGUAAAACCUAAAGGCGCAAUGAAAGUGUCAGGGGGGCCUCCUUUAGGAGCGUCUCCCGCAGGGAGGAUGGGCUUCCGUACAAUUACUUGUCGGAGCCCCGCACUCCCGGGGCGUCUCGUUCUCGUUACGAGUGGAGACGCACCAGGAGCGCACACGCUGGUACCCGAAAGAUGGUGAACUAUGCCUGGCCAGGACGAAGCCAGGGGAAACCCUGGUGGAGGUCCGAAGCGAUUCUGACGUGCAAAUCGAUCGUCUGAGCUGGGUAUAGGGGCGAAAGACCAAUCGAACUAUCUAGUAGCUGGUUCCCUCUGAAGUUUCCCUCAGGAUAGCUGGCUCUCGGGAAGAGACGAGUCUCAUCCGGUAGAGCGAAUGAUUAGAGGUGAUGGGGUCGAAACGACUUCAACCUAUUCUCAAACUCCCAAUAGAUGAGAGCCCCGGCUUGCUUAAAAGUGAAGCC